rnacentral:rRNA from 1 species
CAAUAAGCGGAGGAAAAGGAACUAACAAGGAUUCCCCUAGUAACUGCGAGUGAAGCGGGAAAAGCUCAAAUUUAAAAUCUGGUAGUCUCUGGCUGCCCGAGUUGUAAUCUAGAGAAGUGUUAUCCGCGCUGGACCGUGUAUAAGUCUCCUGGAAUGGAGCGUCAUAGAGGGUGAGAAUCCCGUCUUUGACACGGACUACCGGGGCUUUGUGAUGCGCUCUCAAAGAGUCGAGUUGUUUGGGAAUGCAGCUCUAAAUGGGUGGUAAAUUCCAUCUAAAGCUAAAUAUUGGCGAGAGACCGAUAGCGAACAAGUACCGUGAGGGAAAGAUGAAAAGAACUUUGGAAAGAGAGUUAAACAGUACGUGAAAUUGUUGAAAGGGAAACGCUUGAAGUCAGUCGCGUUGGCUAGGAAUCAGCCUUGCUUUUGCUUGGUGUACUUCCUUGUUGACGGGUCAGCAUCAAUUUUGACCGGUGGAAAAAGGCUAGUGGAAUGUGGCAUCUUCGGAUGUGUUAUAGCUGCUAGUUGUAUACAUCGGUUGGGAUUGAGGAACUCAGCACGCCGCAAGGUCGGGGUUCGCCCACGUUCGUGCUUAGGAUGCUGGCAUAAUGGCUUUAAUCGACCCGUCUUGAAACACGGACCAAGGAGUCUAACAUGCCUGCGAGUGUUUGGGUGGAAAACCCGAGCGCGUAAUGAAAGUGAAAGUUGAGAUCCCUGUCGUGGGGAGCAUCGACGCCCGGACCAGACCUUUUGUGACGGAUCCGCGGUAGAGCAUGUAUGUUGGGACCCGAAAGAUGGUGAACUAUGCCUGAAUAGGGUGAAGCCAGAGGAAACUCUGGUGGAGGCUCGUAGCGAUUCUGACGUGCAAAUCGAUCGUCAAAUUUGGGUAUAGGGGCGAAAGACUAAUCGAACCAUCUAGUAGCUGGUCCUGCCGAAG